rnacentral:rRNA from 1 species
AUUGAACGCUGGCGGCAGGCUUAACACAUGCAAGUCGCGCGAGCGGCGGACGGGUGAGAAAUGUAUGGGACACUGCCUGAUGGAGGGGGAAAAAUACGAGAAACGUUAUCUAAUACCGCAUACCAUCAAGUGUGCCCAGAGGGGAUAAGAUAGUAGAUGGGGUAAUGGCUCACAUAGGCGACGAUCCCGAGCUGGGCUGAGAGGAGGACCAUCCACAUUGGAACUGAGACACGGUCCAGACUCCUACGGGAGGCAGCAGUGGGGAAUAGUGCACAAUGGGCGCAAGCCUGAUGCAGCCAUGCCGCGUGUGUGAAGAAGGCCUUCGGGUUGUAAAGCACUUUCAGCGAGGAGGCGUUACUCGCAGAAGAAGCACCGGCUAACUCCGUGCCAGCAGCCGCGGUAAUUC